rnacentral:rRNA from 1 species
AACGAACGCUGGCGGCAUGCCUAACACAUGCAAGUCGAACGAGACCUUCGGGUCUAGUGGCGCACGGGUGCGUAACGCGUGGGAACCUGCCCUUAGGUUCGGAAUAACUCCCCGAAAGGGGUGCUAAUACCGGAUAAUGUCUUCGGACCAAAGAUUUAUCGCCUUUGGAUGGGCCCGCGUUGGAUUAGCUAGUUGGUAGGGUUAAAGCCUACCAAGGCGACGAUCCAUAGCUGGUCUGAGAGGAUGAUCAGCCACACUGGGACUGAGACACGGCCCAGACUCCUACGGGAGGCAGCAGUGGGGAAUAUUGGACAAUGGGCGAAAGCCUGAUCCAGCAAUGCCGCGUGAGUGAUGAAGGCCUUAGGGUUGUAAAGCUCUUUUACCCGGGAUGAUAAUGACAGUACCGGGAGAAUAAGCUCCGGCUAACUCCGUG